UUUGGCAGGAAUUGAAGUUUGAAUGCUCCGAUAGUGUAACCCAGGAGCAGUACCUGCACCCGAUGUCCACUGUUUCGUCCACUCCUUUCGUAGUGCUUUCAGGAUUCCAAAGCACUCGCCACUGUACACAGAGGAUUCUGGAGGCAAUUUUAUCUUUUGGUAAAUAUUGGAUUGAAUGUGAAGAACACCAAUACCAACACAGCCAUUGGUGGACAUCUUAGAAGCAUCUGUAUACAUAUGGAAAUACAUCAUCAGCUACUUCUGUGAUCACCCUGGCCAAAGCAACCGAGCAGCCAACUAUGUCAGUAUCAUCUAAACUAGGCAAAAACAACAAUUUCUUCUCUACACAGCUUUUGAAAUUUUCCCAGUCAGCAUUACAUAAAUUGUAUUUAAGCCUAGGGCUAGGUUUCGGAGAUGGACGUGUAGAUGAAGGAAAUGAGACUAUAAUUGGAUAAUGAUCACUACCAAAUGUAGAAUCAAGAGUUUGCCAGGUGAAAGAAGAUGCAAGUUCAGCAGAGCAAAUGGAUAGAUCAACAGCGCUGGGUGAUUCUGUAGGCGCUGUACGGCGAGUUGGAGAGCCAGUAUUAAGAACACAAAGAUUGUGAUCAUCUAAGAUUUUUAAAACACGAAGUCCAUUAUAAUUGGAUACUGAACUGCCCCAAAACUGAUGAUGUGAGUUGAAAUCUCCUAGAAUCAACAAGGGCCUAGGUAGAGAGGAAAUUAUGUGUUCUAAUUCGUUAAAAAUAAAAGAUGAUUGAUGAGGAAUAUAUACAGAGAGAAUGCAGAUGUUAUUUACAAUGGCAGCAACAAUUGAGAAAUCAUCACUGUGAGAUGGAAGCUGUACAGAUGAAAAUGAUUCAGAAUUCCUGACGAGUAAAGCUACCCCGCCCCACCCAUCAGGACGGUCCUCUCUGAGGCAUGAAUAGCCAGUAGCUCUGAGGAGAGCUCCAGGCUUGAGCCAUGUCUCAGAUAGGGCAAAAACACAUGGAUUAAAUUUAUUUAAUAAAUGAAUUAAAUCAUGUUUUUUAUUGAUUAUGCUUCUGCAAUUCCACUGUAUUAUAUUGUCCAUUAUUUUUAAUUGCAAAUGUAAGUGAGUCAAUCAUAGGGGCAACGUGGGACGGUAAAGUAAGGUUUGGCUUAGACAAUAGAGUUCUUAGGGCCUCAAUAGACUCAGCGAUUACUACUC